UACGUAGGGGGCAAGCGUUGUUCGGAUUUAUUGGGUUUAAAGCGCGCGUAGGCGGUCUGUUAAGUCAGUGGUGAAAGACUUCAGCUCAACUGGAGAGGUGCCAUUGAUACUGGCGGACUUGAGUACUGUAGAGGUAGGCGGAAUGGACGGUGUAGCGGUGAAAUGCGUAGAUAUCGUCAAGAACACCGAUAGCGAAGGCAGCUUGCUGAGGAGUAACUGACGCUGAGGCACGAAAGUGUGGGGAUCAAACAGG
rnacentral:rRNA from 1 species